CACGUAGGGGGCGAGCGUUGUCCGGAUUUAUUGGGCGUAAAGAGCUCGUAGGCGGUUUGGUAAGUCUGGUGUGAAAUCUCCACGCUCAACGUGGAGGGGCCACCCGAUACUGCCAUGACUGGAGUCCGGUAGAGGAGUGUGGGAAUUCCCGGUGUAGAGGUGAAAUUCGUAGAUAUCGGGAGGAACACCGGUGGCGAAGGCGGCGACCUGGGUCGGACACUGACGCUGAGGCGCGAA
rnacentral:rRNA from 1 species